rnacentral:misc_RNA from 1 species
AAGUCGUAACAAGGUAACCGUAGGUGAACCUGCGGUUGGAUCAUUAAAGAAAAUGUUUUCACAAACAUACACAUUGUGCACUGUAUUUGUCUCUGGCGGCGGGGCAACUAUGGCUUCCAACCAUAGUUGUCUGUCAGUCAUGGUUGUAAUAGCCAUGGCCGUGGACAAACCGUCAAUGUCUCAACAACUUGUGUUUUUUUUAAAUGUCUAAAAUUGAAACUAUUCGUAUAAAAUUAUACAAACAACUUUUGGCAACGGAUCUCUUGGCUCUC